UGGGGAAUCUUGGACAAUGGGCGCAAGCCUGAUCCAGCCAUGCCGCGUGAGUGAAGAAGGCCUUCGGGUUGUAAAGCUCUUUUACCAGGGACGAUAAUGACGGUACCUGGAGAAUAAGCCCCGGCAAACUUCGUGCCAGCAGCCGCGGUAAUACGUAGGGACCAAGCGUUGUUCGGAUUUACUGGGCGUAAAGGGCGCGUAGGCGGCAAUUCAAGUCAUCUGUGAAAUCUCCGGGCUUAACUCGGAACGGUCAGAUGAUACUGCUUUGCUAGAGUGCAGAAGGGGCAAUCGGAAUUCUUGGUGUAGCGGUGAAAUGCGUAGAUAUCAAGAGGAACACCUGAGGUGAAGACGGGUUGCUGGGCUGACACUGACGCUGAGGCGCGAAAGCCAGGGGAGCAAACGGGGAUUAGAUACCCCAGUAGUCCCUGAGCGGGCUGGCAAGGCGCAU
rnacentral:rRNA from 1 species